rnacentral:rRNA from 1 species
UUCUGAGAGGAUUGACAGAUUGAGAGCUCUUUCUUGAUUCGGUGGAUGGUGGUGCCUAUCCGUUCUUCGUUGGUGGAGUGAUUUGUCUGGUAAAUUCCGAUAACGAACGAGACUCUAGCCUAUUAAAUAGGUGUGUGGUUCUCUGCAACUUGCACCCUUCUUAGAGGGACAAGCGGCUCCUAACCGCACGAAACAGAGCAAUAACAGGUCUGCGAUGCUCUUAGAU